AUUUGAUGAUACAUUUUGUUUAACAUAAUAUACCCAAAAUAUUAUCAUCUCACCAUGUGUUGCUAGCCACAAUUCAAGCACUUAAAAGCCACCUAUGCCCAGUAGCUUUUAUGUUGGAUAGCAUAUCAUCCCGAGUGAACUCCUAAUUCCCACAACAUACACAAAAUUCUCAGCCCAUGUUUUACAAUGGGAGGAAAUAAUUUUUGUUUCUGACUCACCCUGACCUAAUCUCUUGAGAAAUGAAGUAUCUGAAACAGUUUCGUUUUACUUGAGUUUGUGCAAGAGACUGGGAAAGUCCAGAGUCUUCCCGCGGAGAAGGAAGAAAGAGGAAACCACAAACAGAAAUCAGAAGAGAAGUUUUCUAAGACCUAAGUUUCUCAAAUCUGUUAUCUAAUGAUGCCCUGAUUUCAAUUCAGUAACCAUGGAGGUCAUCCUGCCUGGCUGAAGAGGCAGUCAGCAAUGGAUACACUGUCUUCUGAGACCCAAGCUCCUGACCCCUGGCGAGAAAAGGACCCCUACUUACCAGCCAUAGGGGAACUGAAAGGAAAACUGAGAGGAAGGCUUGACUUAAUCUUCAAAAGUCUCAUAAAAAGCUCAGCACAGUUAUCCACACUCUAACAGAUACACACAUGCAUCUCAAAAGCUAUCUUCAAUAACUCUUAACUCUCCUAAACUUCCAAUGAAUUCCAACAACAUCCCAC